UGCCAGACUCCUACGGGAGGCAGCAGUGAGGAAUAUUGGUCAAUGGCCGAAGGGCUGAACCAGCCAAGCCGCGUGAAGGAAUAAGGCCCUACGGGUCGUAAACUUCUUUAGUCAGGGAACAAAGGGAGCCACGCGUGGCGCUGUGAGUGUACCUGAAGAAUAAGCAUCGGCUAACUCCGUGCCAGCAGCCGCGGUAAUACGGAGGAUGCGAGCGUUAUCCGGAUUUAUUGGGUUUAAAGGGUGCGCAGGCGGCGUUUUAAGUCGGGGGUAAAGGCCGGGGGCUCACCCCCGGCGAGCCGUUGAAACUGGCGGGCUGGAGUUGGAGAGAGGUACGCGGAAUGCGCGGUGUAGCGGUGAAAUGCUUAGAUAUCGCGCAGAACUCCGAUUGCGAAGGCAGCAUGCCGGCUCCACACUGACGCUGAGGCACGAAAGCGUGGGUAUCGAACAGGAUUAGAUACCCGAGUAUG
rnacentral:rRNA from 1 species